UGCGCGGCUGUGCGGGCGGAGAGCUGUCGAUCCCAGAGAUUAAUGCCAAAGCCCUGUUGCCUAUGGAGAGGGUGAUGCUUGACUUUCUUGUACAGCUGCAGUUUGUGUGGUGAAGGUGCUCCCACAAUGUGGUUGGGAUGAGGCUGUCACUGGCUCGGCCAGCAUUUAUUGCUGCGUUUACCCAGAGGGCAGUUAAGAGUCAACCACGUUGCUAUAGGUCUGGAGUCCCAUGCAGA